rnacentral:rRNA from 1 species
UACGUAGGGUGCAAGCGUUGUCCGGAAUUAUUGGGCGUAAAGAGCUCGUAGGCGGUUUGUCGCGUCUGCUGUGAAAACGCGAGGCUCAACCUCGCGCCUGCAGUGGGUACGGCAGACUAGAGUGCGGUAGGGAGAUUGGAAUUCCUGGUGUAGCGUGGAAUGCGCAGAGUAUCAGGAGGAACACCGAUGGCGAAGGCGGGUCUCUGGGCCGGAACUGACGCUGAGGAGCGAAAGCGUGGGAGCGAACAGG